rnacentral:lncRNA from 1 species
CUCAUUUUACUCAAACAUAAACCUAUAAAAAAUAAAAUCGGAAAGAAUUAUCAUUUUAAGGUGGUAUUAAUAUUUUUCUGCAGCUGUAUUCGAAUCAAUGACAGUUACGCUAAGCUAACAUUUGCGUCAGGCACGUAUCCGGGCACAUCUACCCGCUUCUGAAAGCCUCUGGGGUCCUGACAGAAGCAGCCUCGCUCCUCACGUUAGCACACUUCGCUAAGCAGCUAACGCUAAACCUACAGAACUACAGCAGCAUGUCUGGAAGAGAAGGACGAUAUGGCCUUCAAACAGAAGCAGAAGGAAGAGCAGAAAGCGAUGGAUGCGAUGAAGGCCAAAGCAGCAGGAAAAGGACCUUUAACUGGUGGUGGAAUCAAAAAGUCCGGGAAGAAGUGAGUUGGAGGAUUAUCUUCAGACCAGACCGUCGUUCUGUCCUCAUCUGGGUCCACAGACACACGUGUACAUGAGCUAGCAUUUUUAAUUCCUUUACCCUUCCUUUGUAAACUGAAAUAACCUGAAAUAAUAAAGUUUUUGUAGCUUAACUACUGUGUUUACAUUUUGUAGACAAAAUGUGCGAGAUGGUAAACCACAGUUCACCGCAGAUACAAACUACAGUACAGUAAAAAUACAUACAAUUACACUUAAAACUAAAAGAUAAAAACUGAAAGAUCACUUCGUCCACGCUAUUCCUGUCUUUACAAACUGGCUCUUUUUAUUUAUAUAUAUAUAUAUUUUUCACGUCGUCCCAGCACCACUCCCAGUGUUUCUUUUCCUCUUUAUUUUCCACGUUUUCCUGAGCCUGAAACAAAAAAGGGGGGUUAUUUUUCUUUAUUUUGUAGUUUAAGCGACUCUGAAGUGUAAAUUUGGAGUCGUGUGUUGUUGUUUGUAACAGAGAGGAUGUAUAAAAUAAAGAAUUACGCUGCUUACUUUG